UACGUAGGGCGCAAGCGUUAUCCGGAAUUAUUGGGCGUAAAGAGCUCGUAGGCGGUUUGUCGCGUCUGCCGUGAAAGUCCGGGGCUCAACUCCGGAUCUGCGGUGGGUACGGGCAGACUAGAGUGAUGUAGGGGAGACUGAAAUUCCUGGUGUAGCGGUGAAAUGCGCAGAUAUCAGGAGGAACACCGAUGGCGAAGGCAGGUCUCUGGGCAUUAACUGACGCUGAGGAGCGAAAGCAUGGGGAGCGAACAGG
rnacentral:rRNA from 1 species